rnacentral:lncRNA from 1 species
GAACAUACUCUCUGAGCACUUAACAAAGGUAUUAUCUGUGGCAGCCCAGACUAUUAGCUGCCACCGUGCUGCCCUCGAGUGGUAGCAUGCUGGGCUGCAGACGGUGAGCAUCCAGCACCAAGGACUCUCCAGUCUUGCUGCUGCACUAAGGCUGCCCCAUGCCAAGCUUCCUGUUGCUAGGAAAGGGAUUUUUUUCUUUUUGGCAUCCCACUGGGACUCUAAAGAGGGUGUCAUGGCAAUAAACAGUGCACCUGUGUCCCAAAUGAGGACAAAUUGGAAAUAGGUAAUUUGGGUCAAAAAUGCAAAGAGCUAGCGACAGUUUUCAGAAAGCCAGGGCCAGUAGAAGGUGAGCUAUCAGCCUAAAAGGACCGUUUCGGUCACUAGACUGAUGUCUGUGUACAGCCAGGCCCCCCGAUCACCCGUCCUGCUGAACGUGUGAUCUUCCUGAAGCUAGCAAAAGAUGCCACUGUCAAGGCUGGGUGCCGGGAGAGUCAAUGUUCAGAGGGCCUACGAGCCCAGGGGACAGGAAAGCGUGUGGUUGUAAUACACUCAAAAGGGACAAUCGCUUGCAGUCGGUAGAUCUAGUGAUCUAGUUGAGAGAGAAUGGUGUUUACCCCAUAUGAAGUAUUCAAUAGCUCUUCUUGUUAAUUUCUAUUUAUUUUGAGUUAUACUUGACACAGAAUUCUUUCUUUUUUUUAAAAAAAUGCUAUGUGUGUAUUUUGGGAAAAAAUUCAUAGAUGUUAAAAUUUCUGCAUGGUUACCAGUUUUUCUUUGGACAUGGAACUUGGUAGCCUUCCCCCAGCCCCCAAAUUCUUCAUAAUGAUUUUUGUUUGUAUAUAUUUGAGGGUCUUUUUUUUAAAAAGAAAAGAAAAGAAAAAUAUGAUGGCUUGAUACUAUUAAAAUGGAAAACAACAGAAAGGCAUGCGUUUAAAUGUCAGUGCUUUUGAAAGCGCAAUCCAUAUCAAACUGAUUUUUAGAUGUAUUUUGCAAGUCUGGUUGAGCUAUAAGAAGAUAUUUAUGGUGAGAACUUUUCCUUUUUUUCUUGUUAUUUUUUCUAUGCUUUGGUCUGUAAAAAGUAUGCAAGUGAACUAGAUUAAGGAGGAAAUAUUAUCUACAUAGAAUUAUUAUAUGACGCUGGUACAUAAUUCUAACGAGGAAAAAAAUCUUUGCAAUCUUUUAAGCUAUGGUUUUUUUUUAUUAAUUUUGUUUUCCUUGGAUGAAAAUAUCAGUAUUAAGCAGCCAGUAUAUUAUUCAAGUGUUUAGACUUAUUAAUAUGCUCUUGUCCUGUAUUUAUACAUUUGUGUAUUUUGGAAGUAUUGCCUUUUUAAGGGAAGUUAUCAGUGGGCAACACGGUAAAAAGGGAACAGCGAUCCUUUGUGCCUCUUCCAAUGAAGAUGACAGGUGGCAUGGAAUCUUUCCCCCUGCAUCUUUGUGUCAUUGCCUUGUUUCUACAGUUUUAUUACUUUUUAGGAGAAGGGUGGGGAACUGACAAACGAAGAGGACUCAUCGAACAAACAGACCCUUUGGUCUGUGAGCCCAGUGGCCUUGUCAGCAGGACCCAAGGAGGUACAAGGACCCCGGAGGAGGUUCCAGGCCUGCCUGGAAGCCCCAUGCUCUUUGAUCUUGGAUCUGUCCACUAAGCCCUCACACCUGCCCCCUAGCUCUAAUGGACUUGAAUUUACUUUAAAGUCUAAUCCAACCUCACUACAGUGUAGCCAGUGCAAAAACUAAUACUGAAAUGAGGGGUGUUUGCAGCCCUCUGGGAAGUGGAAAUGAGGCUUAUCCCCUGCUUCAUGGCCAACUUCCCUGUACCAACUCCUGCAGCCCUGUGUGGUGACCCUGUCUGUGUCUGUAUCUGUCUAUGUGUGUGCACUCAGCUAAAAAGACAAACAGAGCCCGUGAGCCCCGCCUUGAGGGUACAUGGAGAAAGUUCCUCCCCUCCCCGAAAGGGACGGCCUCGGGGUGGCAUUCCGUUGUGUGCCUUAUUCCUGGAGACUAUAUAAAGCUUGCCUAUGAAAAUAUAGCCUUUCUGUGCUGUAUUAAAAGGACUUUGG